CAUGAUUCCUGAGACCAUUUGUUCUGGCGCUCUGUCGCUGCCUAUAUUGAGGUUUUUUUUCACUCAUUGGCCGUCAGCUGUUUUUGUUCUAUGUCAAAAUCAUGGAUACGCCGCUGUCCUCUCUCUUCUCCAAUCCCAGCCCCCCCCUACCUCCAUCCCUCCCUCCCUGCUGAAUUAUCACACAGACCAUCCUUUAUCCAUCUCUCUCCUCCGCCGCCAGUCUCUCUGUAUCUCGCUCUCUCUCGCCAUCGCGAUGCUCGACAUUUUCAUCUUGAUGUUUUUCGCCAUCAUCGGGCUUGUUGUCCUGUCGUAUAUAAUUUAUAUGCUGUGAGGGCGGAAUCCGCGACCGACCGAGAGUAACACACACAAUGAGGCCGGGCCUGGAGGCGCAUCUGUGGGCUGCAGGACCAACCUGCACACGGCGAGCGGCCUCUAGUGGCUACUGCAUACGAAUCUCGCCGUCCUGAACUGACAGAUGCUUGAAAUCUCAGAAUGGACCGAGUGAGAGACUCCGGGGUUCAGAGUCCGCUGGGAACGUCCUCUCAGCCUUGGAGAGGAGAGGAGGAGAGCGACAGAGGCUGACCGCAACUCCCUCGCCGUCCCCUCUCCACACUCCUUCCACUGCGAACAGAGAAUUACCGGACUAGCUUUCGAAUUCACACCUUCCUUCUCCACUGUAAGCACGGGAGCCUCGCUGCCUCCCUCCCAGUCUCUUGCCAGUUUUGUUUUCCUCUCACAGACGGACUCAUGGCAGCACACGCAGGGCUUUAAUGAACAGCGUGUAGUGGUAGUGUGUUGCAUGUGUAUCAGUGUGUUGUUGCACACGCUCCCUGAACAGACCCCCCCGUGUCUCUGUGCUGUUCACACCCCCGUGUGUAUUAUCACUGCAGCCAUUAAAACUGCUUUGUUUGA